UACGUAGGGGCCAAGCGUUGUUCGGAUUUACUGGGCGUAAAGGGCGCGUAGGCGGCGUGUUAAGUCAGCUGUGAAAUCUCCGAGCUUAACUCGGAACGGUCAGCUGAUACUGAUGUGCUAGAGUGCAGAAGGGGCAAUCGGAAUUCUUGGUGUAGCGGUGAAAUGCGUAGAUAUCAAGAGGAACACCUGAGGUGAAGACGGGUUGCUGGGCUGACACUGACGCUGAGGCGCGAAAGCCAGGGGAGCAAACGGG
rnacentral:rRNA from 1 species